UAACAUCUUCUUAGGCUUAUUUCAUUUUUCUGCUAUAGAUGAGACUGGCAUCUUUCGAGAGACUGAGUAACAAAAAGUAAGAUGUUUCAAAUGACAAGUGUCAUCUCCAAGAAUGAUUGCUAGCAAGUUCUCUGGCAGGUGCUGGUGAAAACUCAGGAGCAAAGAGGGGUAGACAUAAGAAUAAAGUAGGAACCAUCAGAGAAAACUGAAGACAGUCUCCAGAGGGUUAUGCUAACUUAAGCUGAGAGAGCAAUUAUACCACUAAAAUGAAGAAGGCACAUUCAAGAAAACAGUGCGAAUAGAAGUGAAAAUCAAUAGAAUAAGAGACCUCAGCUUUUGAAAAUAUUU
rnacentral:lncRNA from 1 species